rnacentral:rRNA from 1 species
GACGAACGCUGGCGGCGUGCUUAACACAUGCAAGUCGAGCGGUAAGGCCUCUUCGGGGGUACACGAGCGGCGAACGGGUGAGUAACACGUGGGUGACCUGCCCUCAGCUCUGGGAUAAGCCUGGGAAACUGGGUCUAAUACCGGAUAUGACCUUUCCUCGCAUGGGGUUUGGUGGAAAGUUUUUUCGGCUGGGGAUGGGCCCGCGGCCUAUCAGCUUGUUGGUGGGGUGAUGGCCUACCAAGGCGACGACGGGUAGCCGGCCUGAGAGGGCGACCGGCCACACUGGGACUGAGACACGGCCCAGACUCCUACGGGAGGCAGCAGUGGGGAAUAUUGCGCAAUGGGCGGAAGCCUGAAGCAGCGACGCCGCGUGGGGGAUGACGGCCUUGGGGGUGUAAACCUCUUUCGACCCCGACGAAUUUGGACGGUAGGGGUAGAAGAAGCACCGGCCAACUACGUG